rnacentral:rRNA from 1 species
GACGAACGCUGGCGGCGUGCUUAACACAUGCAAGUCGAACGGAAAGGCCCUGCCUUGGUGGGGUGCUCGAGUGGCGAACGGGUGAGUAACACGUGGGUAACCUGCCCUUGACUUUGGGAUAAGCUAAGGAAACUGGGUCUAAUACCGGAUAGGAGCUACUGCUGCAUGGUGGGGGCGGGAAAGUUUCGGUGGUUGGGGAUGGACUCGCGGCUUAUCAGCUUGUUGGUGUGGUAGUGGCCUAGCAAGGCAAGGAACGGUAGCAUGGCUGAUCGGGGGACCUGACACAUCGGGACUGGGAUACGGCCCAGACUCCUACGGGAGGCAGCGGAGGGGUAGAUUGUACAAGGGGCUGAAGCCUGAUGCAGCCACGCCGCGUGGGGGAUGACGGCCUUCGGUUUGUAUACCGCUUUCGCUUUAGACGAAGCGAUAGUGACGGUACCGGGAGAAUAAGCACCGGCUAACUACGUG